rnacentral:rRNA from 1 species
UACGUAGGGUGCAAGCGUUGUCCGGAAUUAUUGGGCGUAAAGAGCUCGUAGGCGGUCUGUCACGUCGGCUGUGAAAUCCCGAGGCUCAACCUCGGGUCUGCAGUCGAUACGGGCAAACUAGAGUAUUGCAGGGGAGACUGGAAUUCCUGGUGUAGCGGUGAAAUGCGCAGAUAUCAGGAGGAACACCGGUGGCGAAGGCGGGUCUCUGGGCAACUACUGACGCUGAGAAGCGAAAGCAUGGGGAGCGAACAGG